GAGGAACUAGCUCUGCUCUGGGAGGACAUAAGCUCUUGUGUGUAACAUGCUGAUGUUGCCUGAAAGACCAUGUCUAUCUUAACAGUGAGAGACAGAGAUCACAGGUUGUCAGAGAAGCAGGCAGAGAAAGAGGAAGGGAAGCAGGCUCCCUGCUGAGCAGAGAGCCCCAUGUGCGGCUCCAUCCCAGGACCCUGGGAUCACGACCUGAGCCG
rnacentral:lncRNA from 1 species